AAUCUAAAUGUCGUUUUUUGCCGUCAUGUUUAAUUAUUUUGUAAUAGAUAUUUUGUAAAUCAUAUGCGUAUAUAUGAAUAUACACACAUAUAUUAAUAAUAUACUUAAAAAUACGAUAUAAAAUAUAAAUUGUAAAUAUAUAAACAACAAAUUUAAUACAUAAUUUUAAAAGAUUACUACGAAUAAUGCGAAAUAACCUUAAUGAUUAUAACCUAUACGAAAGUUGAAAAUUUGACAGUAAACAAAAAUAAAAAAAGAAAACGAAUAGAUUGAAACAAUAAAUAUUUUAAUAAAUGCUCUAAGUUGAAGUGUUUUAGUUUUUUUAAUUUAUUUGUUUAAUAUGAAAGUGUAAAUAAUUUAACUAUUUUUCUGUGGAAUACUUUUAUCAAUUAUAAAAUUAAUUAAAUCGUUUAUAUAAUAUAAUUUUAGAACAUAAAUAAAUAUAAAUCUCAUAUAUAGUUUCUCUUCAAUCUUAAUAUUCAUAUAUUAAGUUAUUCAUAUAUUUUGUUAUUUUGAAGAUUAUACUUUUUAAAAUUAUACGAUAUAAUUACAAAAAUUAUAAUAAUAUUUAUUAAUAUUAAUUUAUAAAUUAUUAUAAAAUUAUAAUAAUGCAGAAAUAUUUAAAUUCAUAAUAAUUUUUAUGUUUAAAUAUAUUGAUAAACAUUCGUAAUAAUAAUAAUAAUAAUCCAUUUUAUGUAUAUCUUGUUCUAUAAUAAGAUUUAAUUAUCUAUAUUACUAAUGUCUAUAUUAAUAUUAUUUAACUAUAUACGUGAAAAUUGACAAUGUAUAAAUAUUCGACAAUGUGGAAUUUAUAAUGGUCUAAUCUCGUGAUUUGUGUUGUAAAAACAAAUUCUAUGAUGCAGUAUUUAAAGAAUCUGGUGGAAAAAGAAAAUUCAUCAACUUCGAAACCUUAUUACGGGCACGAUUGCUUAAUUUUUUUCUGUAGAAGAUAAAAUCGAGAUAAAAGUCCAAAGAUCCAAUAUGGUGUGGGUUUGUUCAAUUGCUAUUAAUAAAUGCAACAAUUUGUAAUGAUAUGAUAACACUAGUUUCAUUAUAAUCCACUGCAUUGUGUUUUCUUGCGAAAGUGGUGAAGCAAACUUUGACUCUAAUGUUCUUAAAUAUCAUGAGAUGAUACGGCAAAUCGAGCACGCGCUGUCUGGAUAAAACUCAACAGUACAACUCAAAGUAUAACCGCUAACAUCAGUGCUAUAUCUUGACAAAGACUACGACAAAAAAUGCACAUUCAUGAAGAAUGGAAAUAUAUUGCUGCAAUAGAAAAAAGAAAAGACAAAUGGCUUAUCAGAAUGUGGAUUAAGUGAAGAAAAUUCUAAGAUCCCAGAACAUGUUUUUUAAGAAUCAAAAGUUUUGUUGCGAAAAUUGAAUCAUAGGAAAAAUGCACAGACAACCAUUCCCAAAAAACGAUACAAAAUCUGAGUUUGGAAAAUUCAUCCAUGCAGAUAUUUCAGGUCCAAUGCAAGAAAAUUCGCUUAGAGGAGCUCGAUAUUCCUUAAUGAUGAAAGAUGACUACAGUCACUGGAGAAGUUUAUAUUUUAUCAAAAAUAAAUCAGAGACAUCACGAUAUUUAGAGGAUUUCUUUAAGAAGCAUUUAGAAAAAAGAAUCAUCAUCUUCAGAUCGAAUAACGGUCUUGAAUUUGUCAAUAAAGAAAUUGAAGAACACGUCGAUAUGGCAUUAUGUAUCAGAGAACGAUAUCAUUUACUGUGGAACAGAAAGGUUCUGCCGAACGGGAAAAUAGAACCGUAGUUUAGAAUCGUAGACCAUAGUCAAAAUAAAACCGGAAGAGCAGGGAGAAUCAUACAACGACUCUUUACGUGAAUAAUUUGAGCGCAAUCAAACUUAUUAAAAACCCUGAAUUUCAUCAAAGAAGUAAGCAUAUUGAUGUACGCUAUCAUUUCAUACUCGAGAUAAAUUUUACGAGAAAGAAUUUCUUCUGCAACAUAUAGCAUCAGAAGAUCAGGCAGACCUUCUGAUGAAACCUCUGAGAAUAACAGUAUUUGAGAUAUAAAGAAAUCGAUUGAAUAUCAAGAGUAUCGAAGACAUAAUAGGCACAUAAAAUUAUGACACUCAAAUAUAAUAAACGUACACACACUAAAUAAAUUUCAGUUUACUUUUAAGAAUUAUGACACUCAAACAUAAUAAACGUACACUAAAUAAAUUUCAGUUUACUUUUAGUGGGAAUAUUAAAGAAUUUAAAGUUCACUGAAAUUCUAUUUGUGAGUUUAUUAUUCAAUGUUGCUAGCAAUACCACUAAUUCAUAGCUGGUACCUAUUUGUUUUUCUUCGAUACGCAUACUUCAAAUGUUUUGUAAACAGAUACGCACAAUCAUGUAUAAUCAAAUAUAUUCAUUCAGCUAAACCCGUACAUUUUUAUUUAUUGUUUUCACUACCCAGUCAACACUUUUCAGUAAUUUUAAAUGAACUAAUGGACCCUAUGUUUAUGUUCAGUCACGAUUCUCAAGAUAUUCAAUUGAGAUUACUGCUUGAUUAGUUGUGCGAUCACGUUUCACGUUCCAAAAACAUUGUAUAAUACAACGUAGAGCUGACAUUAAAUAUUU